GGCGGCGCUGGCCGGCCGGAUCGCCGCGCGGUUCGGGACGGCGCGGGGGUUCCUGCUGUGCGAGGCGUUCGCCGCGCCGAUGCUGCUGC
rnacentral:tRNA from 1 species